rnacentral:lncRNA from 1 species
AUCCAAUACUAAGAGAAUCUUGCUCUAAAGACCAAGUCUUGAGAUGCAUUCAUGUGGGCUUGCUAUGUGUAGAAGACAAUGCAGUGGAUAGGCCGAUUAUGUCAGAUGUUAUAUCAAUGCUAACAAGUGAAGCACAAUUACCUCUUCCCAAACAGCCUGCAUUUUCAAGUGCAAGAAGUAUCGUGGAAGAAAACAGCCUGCAUUUUCCAGCAGAGAUUGGUACUUCCAUAAAUAAUGUAUCUCUGUCAACCAUGGAUGCGAGAUAAAGGAUAAUUAGAGCGUUAGAUGGUUUAUGUCUCCUCACAAUCUUGUAUGUCAUGUCGUAUUGGAGCAGUCACAUUCUCUGUAAUGUUUUGAAAUUAAUAAGAUAGGAAAUUACAACAAAGCCCUUGGAGACUUAAAAGUUGGAAUAAAUGAAUAAGGGGUAUUAUGGUAAUUGAACAAAAAUUGAUAAAUAUAAAUAGGAAGUAAAAAAAAAAAAAAGAAAGAAUGAUCUGAAUUAGAGAGAGAACGUGAGAGAGAAGAGGAGAAGAAGAAGAAGAGAAAAGAAGGGAAAAUAAGGGAAAAGGAAGAGAUUUGGAGGAAAUAAGUGAAAAAGGUAAGAUUUAGGUUGUUUAAUGUGUAUAAUAUGUUAAUUAAGCUUUAAUUUCAGUUUUUAUGAAUGUUAGGGUUUUGAGAAUUUGUGUUUUUUAAAUUGAUGAAUUAAAUUGAAGGUUAGGGGUUGAUUGUUGUGUUUAAUUGAUGAUUUAGUUGAUUAUGGAAGAUUAUGAUGAUUUUGAGUUAUAGAAUUGUGUGAAAUGUGAAUUGAGUUAGAAAUCAGGGGAGAACAGUGGGGUUUCUGUUAAAAUCUGGACUGGAGGUUGAAGAUGACGAAAAUUCAAUUUGGUCCCUCAAUUUCCGAAAAUUACAGUUUAGUCCCCGAACUUUGGAAAAUUACAAAUUGGUCCCUGGAGCAUAUUCCGAGAUUCUGAACAGAAUAACAUAUGAAUUAUGGACAUAAUUACUGUAUAGAUAAGAUAAUUUAACACUUUCAAUUUAGUCCUCCAAUUUGACAAAAAGUACGAUUUGACCCUAAAAAUUUAGUAAAAUUCCAGAAUGAUCCCUGAAGCAUAAUGAUACAUCCUGGACAGAAUUGAGGAUUAAUUAAGGUCAGAAUUUCAGUAUAUUCAUGGAUUUAUGACAAAUUUCAGUUUGGUCCUCCAUUUGAAAAAGUUACAAUUUGGCCCUAAAAAUAUGGAAAAAUUCCAGAUUAGUCCCUAGCUGUAAUAUUAGCUUUUGCAGAUUAGUUUGAUGAAUAAUUAAGGGUUAUUUAGUGAAUUAUUACCAAUUUUAUUAGUUGUUUUUAUUAUGGAUUAGAUUUCGGGAAAACCGUUAGAUUUUGGGUUUUUAAGAAAAUUGACUAGUUAGUUCAAAAAUAUAGGGUUACGGAAUACACCCUUAGUUAAGUGUAUUAAAUAGGUUAAAUGUUCUUUCGAGUCGUUUUUGAAUAUGUCUCCUUUGUAUUCAGAUAAUCCUGAUAUUCUACCGGCAGGACGUCAGUAGAAUUUCCUUCGGUUUCAGCUUGUGUGUGGUUUGCUUUUGAGUCAGGUGAGUGGAUAAUUUUCCAUAUGCAUGAGAAAUAUUAUAAAUAUUUGAUUUGUUAAUAUGAAUUGGAUCAUGCUUCUUGAUAAUAUAUAUAUGAUUAUUAUCCUUGAUAUGAUAAAGCAUGAUCAAUUAUUGAAUCUGAUUUCUUGAUAUGAACCAAUAUGAUUUGACUUCUGAAUUGAUAGCUCCUCAUUUGAUGGAUGUCAUGAGUUGAGCUUUGAGAUAUGAAUAUGUUUGUUUGAUUAUGAUUAUGAACCUAUGGUAUGUCAGUCAGAAUACCCAUGCUAACAGGGUAGUGUUAGUCUUUGUGCACAUCGUAUCUGAACCCUAGUUGGUCGGGGGAGUCACCAACCUGUGUGGACUGAUCAUCCCACAGUACGGAGCCUCAUGCUCAUUGCAUUUUGAUUUUCUGACGAGUUUUACCAUAUGAUAUUCUUGUUAUGGCCUAUUUGAUAAACCUUCGUAUAAGAACUAAAGCCAUACUUGUAUAUAUAUUUCUCAUUGUUAUAUUACCUCGUGUGUGUAUAUUGAACGUUAUCUACUCACUGAGUUGUUGAACUCACCCUCUCAUUAUUUAUCCUUUUCAGGCUUAUAGCUUGAUAGCAGGUUACUUUUGUUGAACCUUCCGAACCUGCCUUUUGGUUGUAAUUUGUACCUUCCUUUUGUGUCAAGUUAGUGCUCCAAAACUAUGAAAUUAUUAACUCUUGUAUUAAGACAAUUACAUUAUAUUAUGAAGUUGUUUGUUGUUAAUUCUGCGUUAAACUCUGAUUGAGUUGUUUAAAGGAUUGUAUGUAAGUUUGGGUUCGCAUAGGUUUGGAACCUUGGAGGGGAACCUUGCCUAUGUGCCGGUCAUGGAUCCGGGAUUCGGGUCGUGACAAACUUGGUAUCAGAGCUUUAGGUUAAAGAAACAAUAAUAUAAUUAAUUUCAUAAUAAGUGGAGCAUUAGGAUCCGUAUCGUCUUGUUUGUUGUUUUUGAAAUUUUAAAUUCUCAUCAAGUAUGUCUUCUUCCUUGUGAUAGAUAUGCUUUCCUAUAAUUCUGAGAUAAUUAUCAUGCUAUUGUUCUAGCAUGACUUAAGUGAUCUCUCUUUUAUUUUAGGAAAUGCCGAGGAAUAGACGAAGAACUGAUACUCUUAGGGUAGAUGAUGAUCAGGAUGAUGUCCCUAUUAUGCAGUUGAUAACUGCAAGGCAGAGAAGGAGGCGUGGUGCACCCGUGCCUCAACAUGUUGAUGAGGUACCUCCACCAGUGGAGGAAGAGCCUCAGGAGAUAGAAGAGGAAGAUAUGGUUGAUGAAACAGGUGUGGGGGUAGCUGACCCUGAGCCUGUUACAGAGGUUCAGCGACUUAGCCAGGUUGUGCAGACUUGGAUAGAGUUUACUAUGGAGAGAGACAGAAUGAGGGAUAGAGAUGUACCCUCGACAUCCCACACUGUUCAGGGAGUUAAUGUGCCAUUGGAUGACUUUAUGAAGUUGGCACCUCCUAUUUUUACUGGGAUAGACAGUUCAGAGGAUCCUCAAGUUCCUAGAUGACAUUUGGCGACGAUGUAAAGCUUUGGGAUGUACAGACCACCGAGCUGUGAGUUUGGCAUCGUUCAGGUUGGAAGGAGAUGUGGCAAUCUCUUGGUUUGAGUCUAGGGAAAGAGCAAGACCAGUAGAGGCUCAGUGGACAUGGAAGGAGUUUAGCUCCAUGUUCUUAGACAGGUUUCUCCCUCAGAGCAUCAGGGAUGCUCGACUUUAUGAGUUUGAGAGGCUAUCUCAAGGGAGCAUGACAGUGGAGGAGUAUGAUCUGAAGUUCACUCAACUGUCUAGGUAUGCAGAAUAUCUUCUACCCACUGAGGAAUGGAGGGUGAAGAGAUUCAUUAGAGGACUCAAAUCCUCUCUGUAUAUGGUAUUGGCGCCACAAGUGUUUCCAUCCUACUCCUCAGCUGUUGAUAGCGCCAGAUUGCUAGAGGCGCGUGAAAUAGAGGACAUGACUGUUGGCCAGUCUAAGAGGCCUAGAGAAGAGGGUCAGUCUUUUAGGCAACAGGAUUAAGUGCAGGUCCGUUUAGGGGACGAAGUGGCCGUCAGGGCUCAUGGGUUCAGAGGAGGUUUAGACAGAGACCAUCAGUUAGUGGCUCAGGCAGUCAGAGUGGCAGUAGUGGUGCCCAGAGUUUAGUUCAGACUGCACCUCGUAGUUCAUUUGUUUCAUCUGGGGAUAGUUCUUUGUGUCAGCACUGUGGAGGAGGUCAUAACAGUGCAGAGUGCUACAGAAGGACUGGGGCUUGUUUUAGUUGUGGCCAGAUAGGUCAUAAGAUUAGAGAGUGCCCGAGGAGACAGUUGUCCACUUCGGGGUUAUCUGCUUCAGUCCAGCAGCCUAUUCAGGCACCAUCGACGAGCCAGUCUGUGGCUCAUGGGGGUAGAGGUUUUGGUGGCCGUGGUCAAAGAGGUCGGGGUGCAGGUGAUAGAGGUCAGAUACAGCAGGGUCAGGGGCAUGCCAGAGUUUUUGCCUUGACUCAGCAGGAUGCUCAGGCAUCCAACACAGUUGUUUCAGGUAUUCUUCCUGUUUGCUCUUUUGAAGCAAAAGUUUUGUUUGAUACGGGUGCAACUCAUUCGUUUGUGUCCCCAUAUUUUGCCAUGAGGUUAGAUAAACAACCAACCUUGUUAAAAUCCCCCAUUUCAGUCUCCACUCCCUUAGAUGAGUUAAUAUUAGUAAAGUAUGUGUAUCUGGAUUGUGAAAUAGAGAUUGGAGAUAAGAUCUUUAUGGGAGACUUAAAUGUCUUAGAUAUGGUUGAUUUUGAUGUGAUUUUGGGAAUGGAUUGGUUGGCUAAGCAUAGGGCUUCGGUAAAUUGUUGGGGUAAGAAAAUAAUGUUUGAUCUAGAUCAAGAAGUUGGGUUGGUAUUUCAAGGAGAUAAGAUUGGGUCUCCAUCAAUUAUGUUGUCGGCUAUCUCGAGGAAAAUGGCCCGAAAAGGGGUACAGUGCUACCUAGCAUAUAUAGUGGAUGUAGAGAAAGAAGUUCCCCAGUUAGAGGAAGUCCCUAUAGUAGAGAGUUUAUCGAUGUCUUUCCUGAUGACUUACCUGGAUUGCCUCCGUAUAGGGAGAUUGAGUUUUGUAUUGAUUUGGUUCCGGGCACUGAACCAAUAUCAAUGGCACCAUAUAGAAUGGCGCCAGCAGAAUUGAGGAGUUAAAGGAGCAGCUGCAGGAUUUAUUGGAUAAAAAGUUCAUCCGACCAAGUGUGUCCCCUUGGGGAGCUCCGGUGUUGUUUGUGAAGAAGAAAGAUGGGUCAUUGAGGUUGUGUAUAGAUUAUAGGCAAUUGAAUCGGGUGACAGUUCGAAAUAGAUACCCACUCCCUCGUAUAGAUGAUUUGUUUGAUCAGUUACAGGGAGCUCAAUUCUUUUCUAAGAUCGAUCUUCGAUCUGGGUAUCAUCAGUUGAGGAUUAGGGAGGAGACAUUUCAAAGACAGCUUUUAGAACUCGGUAUGGUCAUUAUGAGUUUUUAGUGAUGUCUUUUGGGUUGACGAAUGCACCAGCAGCUUUUAUGGACUUGAUGAAUAGAGUGUUUGGCCAAUUUAUUGAUCGAUUUGUGAUAGUUUUUAUUGAUGAUAUUUUGGUGUAUUCGAGGUCUAGAGAGGAGCAUGAGCAGCAUUUGAGAAUGGUGCUUCAAACUCUGCGAGAUCAUCAGUUGUAUGGCAAGUUCUCAAAGAGUGAGUUUUGGUUGGAGAGUGUAGCAUUUCUUGGGCAUGUAGUGUCAAGGAAUGGGAUUGAGGUUGAUCCUCAAAAGAUUGAAGCAGUUAAGCAGUGGCUUAGGCCUACUUCGGCGACAGAGAUUAGAAGUUUCUUAGGUUUGGCCGGCUACUAUCGGAGGUUUGUGGAGAACUUUUCUCGAAUUUCUGCACCAUUGACUAAGUUAACGCAGAAAAAUGUUAAGUUUCAGUGGUCUGAAGCUUGUGAGAAAAGUUUCUUAGAGUUGAAGGAGAGAUUGACUACAGCCUAUUCUAGCAGUACCAUCAGGUUCUGGUGGUUACACAGUGUAUUGUGAUGCUUCGAGAGUGGGGUUAGGAUGUGUUCUAAUGCAGCAUGGCAAGGUUAUUGCCUAUGCUUCACGGCAGCUGAAGAAGCAUGAACAGAACUAUCCUACACAUGAUUUAGAGAUGGCGGCUGUAAUUUUUGCUUUGAAGAUUUGGAGGCACUACUUGUAUGGUGAAACUUGUGAGAUCUUUACAGAUCACAAGAGUUUGAAAUACAUCUUUCAGCAAAGGGAUCUAAACCUGAGGCAGAGGAGAUGGAUGGAACUACUGAAGGAUUAUGAUUGUACCAUACAGUACCACCCGGGUAGGGCAAAUGUAGUUGCCGAUGCUUUGAGUAGAAAAUCAUCAGGGAGCUUAGCUCAUAUUCAGGAGGUACGAAGACCUCUGAUUAGGGAGCUGCAUGAGUUAGUGGAUGAAGGAGUCAGAUUUGAUCUUAGUGAAGCUGGAGCAAUGAUUGCUCAUUUUCAGGUUAAGUCAGAUUUGUUUGAUAAGAUAAAAGCAGCUCAGAAGAAAGAUGAUUCACUACUCAGGAUUAGAAAUGAGGUUGAGCAGGGUAAGGCUGCAAGUUUUGUGAUUGGUGAUGAUGAUGUGCUGAGAUAUAGGGAUAGGCUUUGUGUACCUGAUGUUGAUGAUCUGAGGAGAGAAUUGAUGAUAGAGGCACAUCAGACAGUUUACACAAUGCAUCCAGGUUCCACCAAGAUGUAUAAAGACCUUAAGGUGUGUUAUUGGUGGAAUAGGAUGAAGGCUGAUGUAGCAGAUUUUGUUUCUAGGUGUUUGACCUGUCAGAGGGUAAAGGGUGAACACCAGAAACCUCCUGGAUUGUUACAACCAUUGUUGAUUCCAGAAUGGAAGUGGGAAAGGAUCACAAUGGACUUUGUGACAGGAUUGCCUAGGAGUCAGGAGGGUUAUGAUUCGAUAUGGGUGAUUGUUGACAGGUUGACAAAAUCAGCCCAUUUUCUGCCAGUUAAGAUUACUUAUGGAUAUGCAAAGUUGGCGGAAUUGUUUAUUAGUGAGAUUGUACGGUUGCAUGGAGUGCCAAUCUCGAUAGUGUCUGAUAGAGGUCCACAGUUUACAUCGCGGUUUUGGGUGAAAUUUCAAGAAGCUAUGGGUACUAAGGUGCAGUUGAGUACAGCUUUUCACCCUCAGACAGAUGGUCAGUCUGAGAGGACUAUUCAGACCUUGGAGGAUAUGUUAAGGGCUUGUGUUAUGGAUUUUGGAGUUGGUUGGAGUAAGUUCCUACCAUUAGUGGAAUUUGCUUACAACAACAGUUAUCAGGCUAGCAUAGAGAUGGCACCUUAUGAGGCUUUGUAUGGUCGGAAGUGUAGAUCACCAGUUUGUUGGUUUGAGGUUGGUGAGAAGAGGCUAAUGGGACCGGAGUUGAUUCAGAUUACCUCAGAGAAGAUUGAGGUAAUUAGAAAGAAGCUUCAAACAGCUCAGAGUAGACAUAAAAGUUACGCAGAUAGAAGAAGGCGUGACUUAGAGUUUUCAGUGGGUGAUUGUGUGUUCUUAAAAGUAUCACCUACAAAAGGAGUAUUCAGGUUUGGGAAGAAAGGCAAGUUGAGUCCUCGAUUCAUUGGACCGUAUGAGAUUCUGGAGAGAGUUGGGGCAGUUGCUUAUCGGUUAGCAUUACCACCAAACUUGUCUGCUAUUCAUCCGGUAUUUCAUGUUUCCAUGUUAAGGAAAUAUAUGUCAGAUCCAUCGCAUGUGUUAGAGGUUCAUCCUAUUGACUUGAGGGAUGAUAUGGUUUAUGAGGUGCAACCGGAAGCUAUAGUCGACCGACAAGUGAGGAAGCUUAGGUCGAAGGACAUAGCUUCAGUGAAAGUGAAAUGGAAAGGCCAUUCACGUGAGGAAGCGACAUGGGAGCUCGAGGAUAAGAUGCGUGAGGAGUAUCCUCAUCUUUUCGAUAAUCUCGGUAAGUAUCAAUCUUUUCUAUUAAGUUUCGAGGACGAAACUUUUAUAAGGUGGGGAGAUUGUAAUGUUUUGAAAUUAAUAAGAUAGGAAUUACAACAAAGCCCUUGGAGGCUUAAAAGUUGGAAUAAAUGAAUAAGGGGUAUUAUGGUAAUUGAACAAAAAUUGAUAAAUAUAAAUAGGAAGUAAAAAAAAAAAAGUGAUCUGAAAUUAGAGAGAGAACCGUGAGAGAGAAAGAGAAAGAAGAAGAAGAGAAAAGAAGGGAAAAUAAGGGAAAAAAGGAGAGAUUUGGAGGAAAUAAGUGAAAAAGGUAAGAUUUAGGUUGUUUAAUGUGUAUAAUAUGUUAAUUAAGCUUUAAUUUCAGUUUUUAUGAAUGUUAGGGUUUUGAGAAUUUGUGUUUGAUUUAAAUUGAUGAAUUAAAUUGAAGGUUAGGGGUUGAUUGUUGUGUUUAAUUGAUGAUUUAGUUGAUUAUGGAAGAUUAUGAUGAUUUUGAGUUAUAGAAUUGUGUAAAUGGUGAAAUUGAGUUAGAAAUCAGGGGAGAACAGUGGGGUUUCUGUUAAAAUCUGGACUGGAGGUUGAAGAUGACGAAAAUUCAAUUUGGUCCCUCAAUUUCCGAAAAUUACAGUUUAGUCCCCGAACUUUGGAAAAUUACAAAUUGGUCCCUGGAGCAUAUUCCGAGAUUCUGAACAGAAUAACAUAUGAAUUAUGGACAUAAUUACUGUAUAGAUAAGAUAAUUUAACACUUUCAAUUUAGUCCUCCAAUUUGAAAAAAGUACGAUUUGACCCUAAAAAUUUAGUAAAAUUCCAGAAUGAUCCCUGAAGCAUAAUGAUACAUCCUGGACAGAAUUGAGGAUUAAUUAAGGUCAGAAUUUCAGUAUAUUCAUGGAUUUAUGACAAAUUUCAGUUUGGUCCUCCAUUUGAAAAAGUUACAAUUUGGCCCUAAAAAUAUGAAAAAUUCCAGAUUAGUCCCUAGCUGUAAUAUUAGCUUUUUCAGAUUAGUUUGAUGAAUAAUUAAGGGUUAUUUAGUGAAUUAUUACCAAUUUUAUUAGUUGUUUUUAUUAUGGAUUAGAUUUCGGGAAAACCGUUAGAUUUUGGGUUUUUAAGAAAAUUGACUAGUUAGUUCAAAAACAUAUAGGGUUACAGAAUACACCCUUAGUUAAGUGUAUUAAAUAGGUUAAAUGUUCUUUCGAGUCGUUUUUGAAUAUGUCUCCUUUGUAUUCAGAUAAUCCUGAUAUUCUAUCGGCAGGACGUCAGUAGAAUUUCUUUCGGUUUCAGCUUGUGUGUGCAGUUUGCUUUUGAGUCAAGUGAGUGGAUAAUUUUCCAUAUGCAUGACAAAUAUUAUAAAUAUUUGAUUUGUUAAUAUGAAUUGGAUCAUGCUUCUUGAUAAUAUAUAUAUUGAUUAUUAUCCAUGAUCAAUCAAAAAGGGAGCUCAUAGACUGGAAUAAGCGAUUUGAAAUCAUUGAAGGGAUAGCUCAAGGGCUACUUUACCUUCAUAAGUACUCGAGAUUGAGGAUAAUUCACCGAGAUUUGAAGGCUGGCAACAUACUACUGGAUGAAAAUAUGAACCCCAAAAUUUCUGAUUUUGGCAUGGCAAGAAUUUUCAAGAUCAAUGAUUUAGAAGGAAAUACAAACCAAAUUGUUGGGACGCUGAUGGGGACACCGAACCAGAAACACUAUUUACGCACGCGUAUGAUCAUAGACGAUGGAGGAUAGCCCAAACCAUUGAGAAAUUGGGCUUUAACUUAUGUUUUUGGGUUUAAUUUAUAUGGACUUUCAGUUGAGUUUUAUUAAUUUAGCUUUAUUUGUUGGGCUUGAUUUAAUUAAUGUUGGAUAUUUUAUUUAAUGGGCCAUAAGCCCAAUUGCUUAUUCAAGUUAGGGUUUUAGUAUAAAUACCCUACUUCUCUAAAUGUUAAGGGACUUUGAAUGAUUAAUGAAAAAAAUGCAGAUUUGCAUAUCUCCAACCCCUCUCCUCCUCUUCUUCUUAGCUUCUUUCUUUCCCUAAAGUUUUUUUCUUUUCUUGCUUUAAUUCUUUUUACGUAUUGUCCCACGUCAAAUUUGGUAUCAGAGCAAGGGUUUUAAUUGUUCUUACAAUUAAACGGUCCACAAUAUUGCUAAAUUGUAGAUCCGGUUUGAUAAAAAAAAAAAAAAAAAUUGGACGCCGAUACUGUUCAUCAGUAUUGUUUCAAUCUACUGUUCAUCAGUAUUGUUUCAAUCUACUGUUCAUCGGUAUUGUUUCAAUUUACUGUUCAUAUCUACGCAACAGCCAAAAAAAGUUACUACUCAUCGAUCGGCACUGUUACUGCUUAUCUUCUCCAGAUCUGCAUCAACGCCGAAGUCGAAAUUGUCACUGCAUCAACACCGAUCACACCAAGAUCCACGCAGCAACAGAUCUGCCAUCCAUGCACCAGCUCGCACCACCAGAUCGACACCGCAAGAGAGAGAACAGAUCUAGACUGUUCAUCUUCUCCAAGCAAACAGCAGCCGAAAGCAAUAGUGUACACUGUUCAUAAUAAAAAACGGCCACUGCGGAGUAGAUCCAUUAGUGACAACAGCCACAACCAGCCAUCUACCGCAUCUGAGCUGACCGACAGUAGAGCUACACCGUAGGAGACAGCAGAAGUCAGACAGAACAGUAACACAAACCAGCGGCAACCACCACCUUCAGUGCCCGCAAUAGUUAUUCAUCUUCACCAGCUACGCCUUCUCUCAACAGCCACCAAGAUCGACAACAGUUCUCACAGCAGCCAAAUCAAUUCACCUUCAGCAACCGCCUCUCACAGCAGCAGAUCAACUCAACCCAGAGACUCGCCAUGGCAGACCAGCAUCUUAAUCCUUUCACUUGUAUCGGGUUGCGGGAAUUAAUUUGUUGAUUGAUUUCCAAGAACAGGUUUGUACGAAGACGGCAACCAGAUGAAGGAAACAAGAAACCAAAGCAAACUAUGGCUGCAAGAUUAAUUAACCCUGCCACGUUAUCAGUUAUGCCACCGCUGCCACGUCAGAUGUCGCACACCAAAAAAAAAUUAAAUUUCAAUUGCGGGUUCGACUGGCGAAUUUUUUUAUUUUUGGUUUGAUUUGGUUCUUUGGAGUCGCCACCUAGUAUUUUGGUCACUAGGAACCCUAACUGGUCUCAGAGAUCGGGUACGGAGACUGGUUGCGUAAAGGGAAGGUAUUAGCACCCCAAAUACGCCUUACCUAAGGUAAGCUGCAUUGUUUUAUUGUCUAAUAAAAAAAAAACUAAGGUGUUAUUGUGUUUUCCUAGUUGUUGGUCUGUCUAUGGUUCAAGAAAAAUCCUCCUCGGUAAGGAGAUCUUUAUCUUAUCGGGUAAAAAUCCUAACCGUUCUAACGUCCAUACCAAAAUUUUAUUGAUAAUAUUUAGGAAUACGUUUUACGUAUAAAUUCGUAAUCCCAAAUACUAAAAGAAAAUAAAAAGAUUUUUUAGAAUUUUUGAAAUAUUGGCCUAGUUCUCAUGGCUUGAAUAAACUGGUUAUUAAAACCAAAAUGCAUGCUAAUACAUAUAUUGUUUUGAAAAUUUUCUUUGUUAUGUGAAAAUAUGAUGUUAUAAUAUUUAUAUAUAUAUAUUGGAGAGACUAGGCCGUAUUUUAAAACAAAAACAAUUUUUGGAAAAUAUUUUUUUUUUUAUGUUUUAACGAAAAUCGGGUAUUUUAAUACUGAGCUUGUAUCCUUAUGGUAUAAAAAUACAACCCAAUAUUAAUCCGCUUUGAUAAAAAAUAUGCAGAAAAAUCAACAACAUUCUGAAAAUCUUUGAUAUUUUGACGAAAACCGGGUAUUUAUAACACUGGUUUUGUAUCUUUACGGUAUAAAAAUACAAACCAACAUUAAACCACUUUGACAAAAAUAUGCAGAAAAAUUAACAAUAUUUUUUAAAGAUUUUUCAAAAUAUUUUUUUUUAUUAUUAUAUUAUAUAUAUAUAUACAUAUAUACACACAUAUAUUAUAACAUAUAUAAUAUAUAUAAUAUAAAAAAAAUUCGGGCUGGGCCGGCCCAAAUAAACGGGCCGGACUCCGCCCAACAAGGAAAGGUUGGGCCGAACUCGGCCCAACCGAAAAGUCUUCUUCAAUCUGGGCCAGAACCGGCCCAGACGUUCAUGGGCUGGGCCAGCAUCGGGCUGGCCCAGCGUUAACAGCCCAGCGGGGAAAGGUUGGGCCGAACUCGGCCCAACCGAAAAUUCUUCUUCAGUUUGGACCAGAACCGGCCCAGACGUUCAUGGGCUGGGCCAGCAUCGGGCUGGCCCAGCGUUAACAGCCCAGCGGGGAAAGGUUGGGCCGAACUCGGCCCAACCGAAAAUUCUUCUUCAGUCUGGACCAGAACCGGCCCAGACGUUCAUGGGCUGGGCCAGCAUCGGGCUGGCCCAACGUUAACAACCCAGCGAGGGGGGGGGAGAAUUAUUUUUCUCCCCCCCGCCUCCUGCAUGCAACAUGCAGGAGGCAAGGCUGCCACGAAAGGAAUGCAGGGAAGAAGGAACGGGUACCUGGCGUGGAGGCGGUCGCUGGUGGAGCUGCGGUGGCGUGGCUCGCGUACGGCGGCUCCGGGCGGUGCUGUGGUGGUUCGAACGGCGGCGGAGAGAAAAGAUUUUCUUCCUCUUCCCCUCUUCUUCGUUUUCGGUUUUUCUUUCUUUUCCUUCCUUUCUCUUUAGUUUCUGUUUUCUUUUUGUUUUCGGUUCAUUCCUUUCUCUUUCCCUCUCCCUUGUUGGUUCUCUCUCUCUUCGGUCUUCUCUCUCUCUUCGGUCUCCUCUCUCUCUCCUCCCUUCGGUUUUUUUUUCUUUCUGUUUUCGGUUUGUUUUUUUUUUCUUGCUUUCGGUCUGUUUCUCUCCUCUCCUCUCCUUCGUGCGUUAUUUCUCUUCUUCCUCUAUCCUCGGGUCUCUCUCUCUCUCUCUCGGCCUCUCUCUAUUUAUAAGCAAAAAAGGAAACGACGUGCCUUUUGUUAGUGCACCUUCAAUCACGCAACGGCUGGUCGGCCAUUGAUGCUUUCGGUGGUGGUGGUGGGGGCGAGGAGAGAGACGCGGGAAAAUUUUCAAAAUUUUCGUCUCUGUUGCUGCUAAACCGGGGGAAGGAAGAAGAUGAACAGUGUCGUUCAAAACGACACCGUUCUGCUUUUUUUUUUUUUUUUUUUUUUAUAUAUGAAACGGCGUCAUUUUGGAUAAAACGCGUCGUUUCAUUUAAAUGGCCAAACUUCAAAUCAGUCCUCCAAAUUCGGUCCCCGCCCCUCUUGUUGGCCGCCUUUUUCACUUUGGUCCUUGGCCUCUGAUUUAUGCAAUUGAGCCCCUAAUUGAUCAAUAAACUUCCAAUUUCUUCAAUUAAGCCCCUGAAACAAUUCCAAACAACCCCCUCUAUCUUUGCGCCUUCUCCAAAUUGGUCCCUGGUUUCGGAUUUUCACAAUUAAGUCCCUAAUUGGCCAUUAAACUUCAAUAUUUAUGCAAUUAAACCCCUGAUUUGACCCAAUAAAUUCCUAAAAAAUAUAUUUUGGCCCCAGAACUUAAAUUUCUCCAAAUUAAAGCCCAAAUUGACUUAAAAAUCAAUUUUUCUUGCAAUCAAAUCUUCUAUAAAUUCAAAUAAAAAUCCAAUUAAGUCCAUAAAAAUCCAAUUAAGUCCAUAAACAUCCAAAUUUGGGCUUUUCUCCUCAAAAUUCAUAUUUUCCUUCUCAAUAGGGCUUUCAUCCUUCAAGAAUAUACUGUCAAAAAUUCAAUCCUUGUAUUUUUAAAUUCCUUGACCAAUUUUCUAACUGUUUUCCGAGCGCUUCUGCCUCCUGUUAUUUUCCUAACCUCUUUUGGCUAUUUAUUUUAUUUUUCAGGGGGACCCAAAAAUGGGUUACAAUAUCGACAUGGUCACCACGUAAGCAAACUGACCACAUCAUCUUCUGUGUCAACAGUCAAUUCAUCCAGUUUGCCACGUCAGCUCCAACAAAUUUCAACUUCCUCCCAGCACUCUAGUCAGUGAAUCACUCUCCCAUAUUUGUUGAAGUUUACUUUUAUUGGAUUUUCACUUGUCAUUCAAGGUUAUUAUUAAUAUUACUUUUGUGCCUAAAAAAAUUCCCAAAAAAAAAAAAAAAAGAUACCAAAAAAAUCCUCAUCAGCAUUUUUAAUUGUUAAUUUUUGUUCAUCAACCUCUUUCAUCAGUGAUUGCUAAUAUCUUAUUCUAUUUGAUAAUUAUGAAUUCUUGCUUAUGACAUCGUGUUUGAUUAAUCAUUUACACUUAAGAAUUUAGUAUUAGAUGCUUACAAUUUUAUUAGUGUAAUUUGUUCUUGAUUAAUCUCCACAUGUAAGAAAAAAAAAAGGAUAAAAAAAAAUAAAAUUAAAUUAGCUUUAUUUUUUGUAUUUUGACUUUGCUUGCAAGAACCACUCGUGAUCUCAAUUUCAUUUCUAAGUUAGUGUUGCAUGCAUUUAUGUCAUGAUCAUCUAGUGUCUAAACUUAAGUUUACACUUACUGUAGACUCAACCUUUAGUGAUACUCUUAUGAUCAUUUCAAGGGAACUGCAAACUUAGGUGAUCAACAUGUUUAGAAGAAUUAAGCCCCAAGAGAGUUUUCGAAUAAGGCACUCAAAUACCAAUAAAUAUCACAAGAAUAAUCAUUAUGGACAAGAUCACUGUGAGCGACACCAAUAUGACCAUCAUUUAGGUUACUCUAAACAUGAUGACUUUGAUGAGCGAGUCUUGAGUCCUAACAAAAUAGAAGCCCCCACUUUUGACGGUCGUCAUGACCCUUGGAUAUUUGAUAUGUGGAUUCGUGAUAUGGAUCAAUUCUUUGAGUGGCAUAAUUUGUCUGAUAAUAAGAGAGUUAGAUUUGCUGAGAUGAAAUUCAUUGAUAAAGCCAAACUUUAUUGGAGAGACGUUAAGGAUUGCUUAGAGAUGAGAGGUAAACCUCCUAUAACUGACUGGAUCAAAAUGAAACAAAAACUUCAAGAGAAAUACGUACCCCAGUCUUAUAGGAAUAAACUCUUAGACCAAUGGAACAAUCUAAAACAAGGGAAUAAGUCUAUCAAUGAGUACAUAAGGCAGUUUAACGAUUACAUGAUUAGAUGUGCCAUAAGAGAGAGUGAAGCCAUGACUUUGCGUAGAUUUUGUAGAGGCUUAAAUGAUGAUCUUAAAAGAGAAGUUGUAUUUCAAGGUGUAUCUACCCUUGACCAAGCUUAUACCUUAACUAAAGACUACAAGUUGGUCACAAAGGAUCAGUGGAAAAAUCGUCAGGACUUUUAUAGUAUCCCUAUUAGGUCCCAAUUCAGAGGUAGUGAUUCUUUGUUAGUUGCUCUACCCCAUAGACCUAAUCCUAGUAACUCACAACCUUACAAGAAAGAUAAAGGCAAACGAGUUGUUAAUGAGGUGUCUAAAGUGAGUUCUAUGGUUAAGUGUACUAAUUGUCUAGGUUUUGGUCAUAUCUCUUUAGAUUGUACCUCUAAACCUUUAGUCAUCCAAAAAUAUAAGGAUCUAGGUAAAGAGGAAUAUUGUAGUGUUGAAGUGUAUGAGCCUAAUCUUGAGGAUUUUAGUGACCUUGAUGACGAGGAUGUGCAAGAAGAGGGACUUAACACAAUGAGUCCACAUGAGCUUGAGACUAAGGUUAAGAAAGAGUCUGAUAUGUCUGCUUUAAUGGUGGAGGAAAUUUUAGGAAACUCUUUAGUGGAACCGCCUAUAGAGAUAAGUAUGGUCUUAGAAGAGUCUCAUGAUAUUAGUUCUCCUGAAUUAUCUGAUUCCUCGCCCCAUAUGCUUGGUGUCCAGCACAUCAUAAGUUUAGAGCAACAUGUUGAGCUUUUUGACCCCUUACCACAUGCACGUGAUGAGGAAGAUGAAGAUAAUCCUAGUUUACUUGAUUGUGUCCAUACCAUAUCUACAGAGGUUUCAAAUAAUGUUUGUCUCAUUCCACACCCUCAAUCAUUUAGUGUUCAUAGUUACAAACCUGAGAAGCCUAUAGAACACCUUCUCAUAUCUCCUCAUGAUAGGAUGUCUAAGUCAGCUGAGUCAUUACCAUGUAGGGUUCAUAAUUUGCAUAUUGAGAUCAUGAAACAAAUUCAAGCAAGUAAUGAACAAUACAAAUUUCGAGCUGAUUUACUUAAAUAUCAUAAUGCACUUAAUGUUGGAGAUUAUUUCAUGAUACAGAUUAGACCUGAACGGUGUCCUUUGGAAACCGAUCAUAAAUUGCAAGUAAGUAGUGCUAGACCAUUCAAAGUGUUGCAAAUGAUUACAUCAAAUAAUUAUGUCAUUAAAUUGACAUUAAACUUUGAUAUUAACUCUACUUUGAACAUGAAAGACCUCAGUAUUUAUAAAAUACAGCCUACCCCUGAUGCUCCUUUUGAUACCCCUACCUCAAUAUCCAUAUCUUUGGCACAAAAGGAACAUAUUAAUGCUACUUUGAAUGCACAAGUUGUUUUUACCAGGGACGGUGAACUUCAGCAAAUCCCAAUAUAUGGACUCGACAACCAGAUUCAUACUAUACUUGGAUUAUCAGAGAGACAUCACAACAAUUUGAUCCUUAUCUUUGAGAGCAUUAUCGGAGCUGCCUUAACCUAUACUCGACGAGGUCGAGUUCUUCCAACCCCGGGAGAAUUGAUGGGGACACCGAACCAGAAACACUAUUUACGCACGCGUAUGAUCAUAGACGAUGGAGGAUAGCCCAAACCAUUGAGAAAUUGGGCUUUAACUUAUGUUUUUGGGUUUAAUUUAUAUGGACUUUCAGUUGAGUUUUAUUAAUUUAGCUUUAUUUGUUGGGCUUGAUUUAAUUAAUGUUGGAUAUUUUAUUUAAUGGGCCAUAAGCCCAAUUGCUUAUUCAAGUUAGGGUUUUAGUAUAAAUACCCUACUUCUCUAAAUGUUAAGGGACUUUGAAUGAUUAAUGAAAAAAAUGCAGAUUUGCAUAUCUCCAACCCCUCUCCUCCUCUUCUUCUUAGCUUCUUUCUUUCCCUAAAGUUUUUUUCUUUUCUUGCUUUAAUUCUUUUUACGUAUUGUCCCACGUCAGACGCGGUAAGUAUAGAUUUACAGUUCCAUGUGUCAUUACUCUCUAAAGUGCUUAAAAAUAACAUAACAUUCAGUUUUUCCAUCUAGUGGAUAUAUGUCCCCUGAGUAUGUCAUGGAGGGCAUUUUCUCUGUGAAAUCCGAUGUCUUCAGUUUUGGAGUUCUACUGCUGGAAAUUGUGAGUGGUAGAAGAAUCCAUGGCCUCCUUGAAAUAGGGCCCUCUCAAUCUUGUGGGAUAUGUAAGUUCAUUUCAAGCAACCUCAUAAAUGAUAACAUUUCUAGCUGCAUAAGCUUAAUUUUAACAUUAAACGUAAACAUGAUUCAGACAUGGGAGCUAUGGAAAGCAGGUAACCCAUUUGAGCUGGUGGAUCCAAUAGUAAGAGAAUCUUGCUCUAAAGACCAAGUCUUGAGAUGCAUUCAUGUGGGCUUGCUAUGUGUAGAAGACAAUGCAGUGGAUAGGCCGAUCAUGUCAGAUAUUAUAUCGCUGCUAACAAGCGAAGCACAGUUACCACUUCCCAAACAGCCUGCAUUUUCCAGUGCAAGAAGUAUUGUGGAAGAAAAUCCAGCAGAGAAUGGUUCCAUAAAUGAUGUUUCUAUGUCAACCAUGUAUGCGAGAUAGAGGUUAGAUGGUUUCUUUGUCCUCAAAUAUUGUUUGUCAUAUGUCUUUAUGGAGCAAAACUUAUAUUUCUCCAUCAGUAUUUUGCUUUUUCAAUGAUUAGUCUUUUUUGAUGCUCUCAAAAUUUAAGUUUCAUUCGGAAUAUGCUUAGAAAUUCUUAAC